rnacentral:rRNA from 1 species
CCCCAGUAACGGCGAGUGAAGCGGCAACAGCUCAAAUUUGAAAUCUGACCCCUUCGGGGCCCGAGUUGUAAUUUGUAGAGGAUGUUUCGGGUGCGGCGCCGGUCUAAGUCCCUUGGAACAGGGCGUCAUAGAGGGUGAGAAUCCCGUAUGCGACCGGCGACCAACCUCAUGUGAAACCCCUUCGACGAGUCGAGUUGUUUGGGAAUGCAGCUCAAAAUGGGUGGUAAAUUUCAUCUAAAGCUAAAUACCGGCCAGAGACCGAUAGCGCACAAGUAGAGUGAUCGAAAGAUGAAAAGCACUUUGGAAAGAGAGUCAAAAAGUACGUGAAAUUGUUGAAAGGGAAGCGCUUGCGACCAGACCUGUCCGCGAACGAUCAACCUCUGUUCUCAGGGGUGCACUCGUUCGCGAUCAGGCCAGCAUCGGUUCGGGCGGUGGGACAAAGGCCUUGGGAACGUAGCUGCCUUUCGGGGCAGUGUUAUAGCCCUCGGCGCAAUGCCAUCAGCCCGGACCGAGGACCGCGCUUCGGCUAGGAUGCUGGCGUAAUGGUUGCAAGCGACCCGUCUUGAAACACGGACCAAGGAGUCUAACAUUUAUGCGAGUGUUUGGGUAUCAAACCCAUGCGCGCAAUGAAAGUGAACGGAGGUGAGAACCCUUAAGGGGGCAUCAUCGACCGAUCCAGAUGUCUUCGGAUGGAUUUGAGUACGAGCAUAACUGUUGGGACCCGAAAGAUGGUGAACUAUGCCUGAAUAGGGUGAAGCCAGAGGAAACUCUGGUGGAGGCUCGCAGCGGUUCUGACGUGCAAAUCGAUCGUCAAAUUUGGGUAUAGGGGCGAAAGACUAAUCGAACCAUCCCCGUAACAGGCGGCAGGAUCGGUUUACGGGGCUCGGCAAACAGGGAGCUUCUCUCGUUAUCGGGCCCUCAGAACCUCCGCCGCUUUCUAGGUGGUUAAGAAGCCACGGGAGGCUUUCCAGAAAGCCGCCCGUGCUGAGUCCUUUGGGGCGACAUCGCUACGUGCAUGAAUCUCCUUCUAGGGGUGAUAUGCUGCAGAUUACCCUUUUACUGGGUCUCUGUCCACAGACCAAAUAGCGUUGGCCGAGGUGUUUCGAUACCCGGUUUAGAAAUGGCCGCGUCCCAUUCUUAUAGGAAUGAGCCUUGAGAUACGUAGUCUUCCUUUACAGAGGCGACUAUCGAGAUCUGGAGGUUUUUGUAUAGACGCUAGUAGCUGGUUCCUGUCGAAGUUUCCCUCAGGAUAGCAGUAACGUUUUCAGUUUUAUGAGGUAAAGCGAAUGAUUAGAGGCCUUGGGGUUGAAACAACCUUAACCUAUUCUCAAACUUUAAAUAUGUAAGAAGUCCUUGUUACUUAGUUGAACGUGGACAUUCGAAUGUAUCGUUACUAGUGGGCCAUUUUUGGUAAGCAGAACUGGCGAUGCGGGAUGAACCGAACGCGAGGUUAAGGUGCCGGAAUGUACGCUCAUCAGACACCACAAGUAUGAGCGUAUAGACCGGCCCUGGAGACCGUUCGGGGGCGAACCCGUAUACGCAAUUGCGUCCCGGGGGAUAUUAUUGUGGUGUCGUGCGCCUCGCCCGGCUCUAUGCUGGAGGGUGAGUGAAGUCUCUUCGGGGGCAAGGUUUUUGAUUGAGAGGGGCUCGCUAUUCUUAUAGCUUACCCUCUGCCGCUCCUGGGCGGCCCACAGAUCAAGCAGAAGCCGGUGGUUGACGUACCAGCCAUUUAAGAUAUGAUCGGCUUUCAAGCUUAUAGCUUGGAAACAAUGCGCAAAAGGUGUUGAUUCAUCUAGACAGCCGGACGGUGGCCAUGGAAGUCGGAACCCGCUAAGGAGUGUGUAAGUAAUUCUGGAGCAGCUCGAGGAUCUGGAGAUUGUUUAUUAAUAUCUCGCUAGGUAACAACUCACCGGCCGAAUGAAUCAGCCCUGAAAAUGGAUGGCGCUCAAGCGUGCUACCCAUACCUCGCCGCCAGG